GGCCUUGUGGUGUUUUUACAUACUGGAUUGCAAAUCUAGAGUCGUAGAUUAGAAGUCUGCCGGGGCUU
rnacentral:tRNA from 1 species